rnacentral:misc_RNA from 1 species
AGGGCGCAGUCUGCGCAUGCGCUACCCAAUGAAAAUAAGGAACAUGGCGAGGAGACCGGAAAAGAUUUGAGACUUUACUGCUUAAAAUUUCAGCGAUCAUGGCUACACAGAAACCUGGCGAGUGGGUCCAGUCCCUGCUCGCCCGGUUCGAUGCUCAGCUUCCCAUCAAGACUGGUCUUCAGACAACACAAUCCAUGCAGAAUGUCAAGCAGAACAAGGAGUGCUUGGUGAAAGUGAGUAGACACAAGUUCUCUCUAGUCAUCAAUGGACUCACAAAGACUUUGCAGAGCGUCCUGCAAACGCGGGUGCAUGCUGAAGCAGAACGUAACUACUAUGAUUCACAAAUUAUUAUUCUGGACACCUUAAAGCAAGUUUUGAACUCGCAACCAAAAGAUACAUCUAGAAUGGAUGAAGCAAUGUAUGUCAAGAUGCUGUUGCCAGAAAUUUGUAAGUUUCUGAACCAGCCAACAGAUGGCAACCCACUGGCAGUUCAGUUACGUAAUCUGGCUUCAGAAGUGCUGUAUGCUCUUAGUCUGAACAACUUCACAGCAGUAUUCAACAAAAUCUCAGCCAAGCUUGUGGCGCUAGUCCAGGUGGAGGAUUCUUCAGAUCUUUCAGAUUUGGAAUUAAUCCAGCACAUGAAUAUGGACCUCUCACGCCUUACCAAACUCCUUAAUGAAGUUGUGUCAAAGUUCAAGACACUCAAGUCUCGACCAGUCAUCAUCAGCCUAGGGCUUAAUCUGGAAAAGGCAAUCUGGAACUGGAUGGAUAACUAUCCUACAGAGUUUACAGACUUGCAAAAGCGUCCUAAUGAUGAAUUGCAGGAAUGUUGUGACAAGCUGUUUGAGCAUUUUAACAACUUGGUAGAGGGAUCUCGUAGGCGGGCCUCCAUCUGGCCACUGCAGAUGAUGCUUCUUAUUCUUUGUCCUAAAAUCCUGGAGGAAAUCAAUAAUGCAGACACAGGAGCACCUUGUUCACAGCAACACCUGAAGAAGAAAUCCUUUAUCGAUGAAGUAAAGAAGGCUGUAUCCAGUCAUCAUAGUGGCAAUAAAAAUCUGACUGAAGGGGCUGCUGUCACGUGUGUUCGUCUUUGUAAAGCCUCAACGUACAUCAACAUUAAGGAUCGGCUAAAUGUGCUUUUCACUCUAGUGCAGUCGGUCAUACAAGAUCUGAAGACACUGUUGUUCAACCCACCUCCAAACAGCAAAACCUUCUCCAAAGUGCAAGGUGUAGUUGGCCAGGAUUCAGAGCUGUAUGUGGACUUUUUUGUAUCAUGUUUCCGCAUCACACCACACAACAACGAUGUGUUGAAAGUGUGUCUGAACAGCCAUUCCCCAGCAAUGUACCACCUUGUGUUGGUCACAGCUCUACACCGUAUCAUUACGCAGCCACGAUUGGAUUGGUGGCCUGACAUCAGUCUCAUGUACAGCAAAGCUGGUGAACUACGUAACAUGUUUAUGGAUACAGUCAACAAGGUGACCCAGGGCUUCUCCUCUCACAACUGCCCUAAGGUCAGUCAAGGGACAUUAUCCAAGAUGACCACAACAUUGAAGCUGUCCAGGCCCGAUGAAACCCUGACAACAUACAAAUACAUCUUGUUCUGGCUGGUGAAGCUAGUUAUAGCCGACCCUCAUCUCAUGCUUCAUAACCAAGGCAAGCCUGGGCAUGAGGUACAGCGCAGUACCCUGGAUCUUAUUACUAGUCUUGUCUCCCUUGUUCACCAGCAAAUGAUGCCAGAUGUUGCACAGAGAGCCAUGGAGGCACUGCUUGUGCUGCACCAGCCAGAGAACAUUGAGCUAUGGAACCCUGAAGCACCUAUCAACACCUUUUGGGAUAUCAGUUCCCAGGUGUCUUUUUACAUCUCGCAGCGCUUGAUCCAGCACCAGAUUGUCAACUACACAGAAAUUCUCAAGUGGUUAAGAGAAAUUCUUAUAUGUAGAAAUCGGUUUCUGCAGAAACACAGUGCAAACGCCAAUGUUGGCAGUAACAUUCCUGUGUGUCGCCAGGCACACAUCAAGCUAGAGGUGGUGUUCUUCAUGUACCUUUGGAGCAUUGACAUGGAUGCUGUUCUGACUGCUAUGAGCUGUUUCCGUCUACUUUGUGAAGAAGCAGAAAUUCGCUGUGGUGCUGAUGAGAUGGCUGUGACACAACUUCUACCCAACAGCAGUGUUUAUGAAGAGCUGGCCGCUGCCAGCACUGUUCUUACCACAGGUCGUGCUGCACUUCAGAAAAGAAUUAUGGGAUUGUUGCGGAAAAUUGACCAGUCAACUCCAGGGAAUUCACAAGCUUGGGAAGAUACCUACAGAAAUUGGGAUGCAGUAACACGAUAUUUGGAGUUGUAUCCUAAAGUCAAAUAUGAAGAGCAAGGGCGUGGCGAGAUUGCUGAGAUGAUAAAACUGAAGCGGAAGACUCCCCAGCAUGCAAACACAGAACAUGAGCUAGAAGACCAGCUGAAUGAAUGGGCUAACAUGACUGGAUUCCUGUGCGCUGUUGGCAGUGUCCGACUACAAAACAAAUCAACACGUGUCAGCAAUUCAUCAUUGCCAGGAAUCCAGGUGGAACCAAGUCGUAAAAGUAGUCUCAUGCAGAGCUGCUCCAAUGAUUCUCAGUACUGCCCUGUGACACAGUUUAUUGGCAACUUGCUGAAGCUACUAGUAUUUCAAAAUGAAAAGUUUGGGGCCACCAUCCAGAAGCAUGUGAAGGAACUAGUUGGACAUGAGCUGAAUCCAGCACUGUACCCAAGCCUCUUUGACCAGAUUAAAAUCUGUGUUGAUAAGUUUUUUGAUGCCACUGGACAGGUGAUUGUUCAGGAUCAAAACACACUCAUGAUUGAAAAUGUCAUUUUCAUCAUGAAAAACAUACUCGAAAUGAAGUCUGACCAGCCUUGUGAAUACCUGGGUGUCACAAGUAUUGAGUCUCUCAUGCUGGCCAUUGUCAGGUAUGUGAGGCAUUUGGAUUCAUCCAUGCAUGCUAUUCAGAUCAAAACCAAACUCUGCCAGCUUGUGGAAGCAAUGAUGAGACGGAGAGAUGAACUGACAUUUAGGCAGGAAAUGAAAUUCCGUAAUAAGCUGGUGGAGUAUCUGACGGAUUGGAUCAUGGGCAACUCACAUCAGGUUAAUGUGCAAGGUGACAUCUGCAGUAUGUCGAGGGACCUUGAUCAGGCAAGUAUGGAGGCAGUGGCAGCCUUGCUAGCAGGACUUCCAUUGCAGCCAGAGGAGAGUGACCGUGGUGAUCUAAUGGAAGCAAAAUCACAGCUUUUCCUCAAAUACCUGACUCUUUUCAUGAAUCUUUUGAACGACUGUUCAGAGGAAGAGCAGGAUAAGGCUCUUGAUCCCAACCGCAAGCGUAGCAUGUCAAACCUGAGUGCUCUCCGGAACUGCACUGUGCAGGCCAUGUCCAAUCUUCUCAAUGCCAACAUUGACAGUGGGCUCAUGCACUCCAUAGCUCUGGGUUACCAUAAAGAUCCUCAGACACGGGCAGCUUUUAUGGAGGUGCUGACCAAAAUCUUGCAGCAAGGAACAGAAUUUGAAACGCUAGCUGAGACAGCCCUAGCUGACAGGUUUGAGCGGUUGGUGGAGCUGGUGACCAUGAUUGGUGACAAGGGAGAACUGCCCAUAGCCAUGGCACUAGCACAAGUUGUCUCCAAUACUCAGAUGGAUGAACUUGCUAGAGUGUUUGUCAGUCUCUUUGAUGCCAAGCGCCUGUUGUACCAACUUUUGUGGAACAUGUUCUCCAAAGAGGUGGAGCUUGCAGACUGCAUGCAGACAUUAUUCCGUGGCAACAGUCUUGCCAGCAAGAUCAUGGCCUACUGCUUUCGGUUUUAUGGGCAGUGGUAUUUGUGUGAUCUUCUGUCCCCACUUAUACAAGAGAUGUUUCAUCUGGAGAAAGAGUGUCAUGUGUCCUAUGAGAUUGAUCAGACCAGGCUGGAGCAAGGUGAGAAUCUAGAGGAUAACAAGAGAAACUUGCUCGAGAUGACCCAGAAAGUCUUCACAGCAAUAGUUGAAUCUGCUCCCAAAUUUCCACCCAAGCUACGCAGCAUGUGCCAUUGCUUGUACCAAGUGGUCACCCAGAGAUUCCAGCAAAGCAGCGCUGAGGCUGUAUGGACUGUUAUCGGCACCGUCAUAUUUUUACGCUUCAUCAACCCUGCCAUAGUCUCACCUUAUGAGUCAGGCAUUGUAGAGAAAGAACCAACCCUACGUAUGAAGCGCGGUCUGACACUCAUGUGCAAAAUUAUGCAGAACAUCGCCAACCAUCUUUUGUUUACCAAAGAAGUUCACAUGAUGGCUUUUAACGAAUUCCUCAAAAGCAAUUUUGAAAAUGGCCGAAGAUUUUUCACAGAGAUUGCGUCUGAUUGUGAGACACUGGAUGCAGGCAACCACAAUCUAUCGUUUAUCAAUGAUGCCAAUGUCUUGGCACUGCAUCGCCUGUUGUGGAACAAUCAGGAGAAGAUUGGGGAUUACUUAUCCAGCAGCAGUUUGGAGGUGCACACUGAGAACUUCCUGUGCGAGGCUGCCGAGGGCCCGCAGCGCCUAGAUCACAAAGCUGUGGGGCGGCGUCCAUUUGACAAAAUGGCUACACUCCUGGCAUACCUGGGUCCACCAGAACACCGACCUCUUGAUUCACAGUGGAGCAGCAUGGACAUGACGAGCACUAAGUUUGAGGAGAUCAUGUCCAAGCACAACAUGCAUGAGAAGGACGAAUUCAAGUCCCUCAAAAACUUGCACAUCUUCUACCAGGCUGGAACGUCCAAGGCAGGCAAUCCUGUCUUUUACUACAUUGCCCGCAGAUACAAGGUUGGAGAGAUCAAUGGAGACUUGCUGAUCUACCAUGUACUGCUGACUCUCAAACCCUUUUAUCACAAGCCCUUUGAGCUGGUCAUUGACUUCACUCACACCUGUUCAGAAAACAGGUUUAGGACUGAUUUUCUGUCCAAGUGGUUUGUAGUGAUGCCAGAGAUUGUUUAUCAAAAUAUUACAGCUGCAUACAUCUACAACUGUAAUUCAUGGGUGCGAGAGUACACUAAGUACCAUGACCGUAUUCUGACACCAUUAAAGAACAACAGAAAGCUUAUUUUCAUUGAUCUUCCCGCAAAGCUGUGUGAUUUCAUUGACCCAGACCAGCAGAAAUUGCCAGGAACAACCGUCUCCCUUGAAGAGGACCUGAGAGUCUUUAACAAUGCACUGAAACUGUCUCACAAGGAUACCAAGGUCGCCAUCAAGGUUGGACCAAAUGCCAUUCAAGUCACCUCUUCUGAACGGAGCAAAGUUCUGGGUCACCAAGUCUUUCUUAAUGAUGUUUACUAUGCUGCAGAGAUUGAAGAGGUAUGUCUGGUGGAUGACAAUCAGUUUACUCUGACCAUUGCCAACGAGACGGGGCCACUGUCCUUCAUCCACAACGACUGUGACAACAUUGUGCAAGCCAUCAUCCAUAUUCGUACUCGUUGGGAGCUGUCGCAGCCCGUAUGCGACACAGUAACAGUGCACACUAAGAUCAGACCAAAAGAUGUCCCAGGAACAUUGCUGAAUGUUGCACUGCUAAAUUUAGGCAGCUCCGAUCCUAGCUUAAGAUCAGCUGCCUACAACCUGCUGUGUGCCCUUACUCAGACUUUUGACCUCAAAAUCGAGGGUCAGCUUCUAGAAACUAAUGGCCUCUGCAUCCCUGCCAACAACACUAUCUUCAUUAAGUCCAUCAGUGAGAAGCUAGCAGAGAAAGAACCACACCUGACCUUAGAGUUUCUGGAGGAGUGCAUCCAGGGCUUUGGCAACUCUAACAUUGAGAUGAAACAUCUUUGUCUUGAGUACAUAACUCCUUGGCUGCCAAAUCUUACCAGAUUCUGUAAACAAUCAGAUGAGAAUAAACGCCAGAAAGUGGCAUUGAUUUUGGAUAAACUGAUUACUAUGACCAUUGAGGAAGUGGAGAUGUACCCAUCCAUUCAAGCCAAAAUCUGGGGGAACAUUGGACAAAUUGCAGAUCUGCUGGACAUGGUGCUCGAUAGCUUUAUCAAGCGAAGUGUAACUGGAGGCUUAGGUUCGAUCCAGGCUGAGAUCAUGGCAGACACUGCCGUAGCCUUGACUUCUGCCAAUGUUCAGCUAGUGUCUCGAAAGGUCAUAGGUCGUCUUUGCAGACUGAUCGACAAGACUUGUACAUCACCAACACCAACUCUAGAGCAGCACUUAAUGUGGGAUGACAUAGCAAUUCUUGCCAGAUACCUUCUUAUGCUUUCCUUCAAUAAUUCAUUGGAUGUGGCCAGCCACCUGCCCUUCUUGUUCCACAUUGUGACAUUACUGGUAUCAACCGGCCCACUCUCACUGCGAGCAUCGACACAUGGAUUGGUCAUUAACAUCAUACACUCCUUAUGCACGUGCUCCCAGCUCCACUUUGCAGAGAGCACAAAGCAGGUAUUGAAGCUGAGCCUUGCUGAGUUCUCGCUGCCCAAGUUUUACCAGCUUUUUGGCAUAAGCAAAGUCAAGUCGGCAGCAGUCAGCGCCUUCCGUACAAGCUAUCGGCCUGGUGACCGAUCAUUCACCAUGUCUCCACCAGAGAAUGAAAAGAUGCCUCUCAGUUCUUUGGAGGCUAUUGCUGAUGCCUUGCUGGAGAUUAUGGAGGCAUGUAUGAAAGACAUUCCAAGUUCUGAGUGGCUACAACAAUGGACAGACUUAGCUCGAAGAUUUGCCUUCCAGUACAACCCAGCUCUGCAGCCACGUGCGAUCAUUGUGUUUGGCUGCAUUAGCAAAACAGUCACAGACUCUGAGAUCAAGCAGCUUCUCAAGAUCAUGAUGAAAGUCAGCGUCAUGUCCGCUUUAGAGUCCUACAUCGAUUUGACUCUGGUGGAAGCUGUGGUUAUGUGCUUGACUAGACUUCAGCCGCUUCUGAGAUCAGAGUCACCUAUCCACAAGUUCUUGUUCUGGGUGGCUAUCUCGGUUUUACAGCUGGAUGAGGUGUCAUUAUAUGCAGCAGGGUUGGCACUUCUGGAACAGAAUCUGCACACACUAGACAACAUGGGACUGUUUGACAGAAGAUCGUUGGAGGACAUCAUGAUGGAGACCCGUGAGCCUCUAGAGUGGCACUUCAAACAGCUAGACCAUGAAAUGGGGCUCAGCUUCCGCACAAACUUCAACUUUGCAUUUGUCGGCCACUUGUUGAAAGGGUUUCGACAUCCUUCACCUACUACAGUGUCACGGACUAUUAGAGUGUUACACCAUCUGCUAACCAUCACAGUUAAACCAACCAACCGUGACAAAUUUGAAGUGACCACAGAAACAGUUGCCUACCUGGCAGCACUGGUCUCAGUAUCAGAGGAGGUGCGCAGUCGCUGUCAUUUGAAGCACCGCACAGCACCAUACAUCAAUCCUGACUCCCCAUCUAGUGAAAGCCUCAAUUCUGAUCUUGCAUCAGGUUCUGGUGUAAACAUUUCUGCCACCAUGUCAACCUCCACUUCAAUUUCCUCUUCCUCAAGCACUGUUGCUGGCAUGAGUGGAUCUGCAUGUGGUGGCUUGAGUCCUGGGGCUGCUUCUGGUGGACCACCACCAUCACUAGGGUUAUCACAGCCACCUGGAACAUCGCUAGGCAGACGCCAGAAGUCCUGUGAUCUUCUUGAUCAGACAGCAAUGACUGCUGCGCGGCAGAGUAAGAAUGGACAUCUUACACAAAGUCAGCCACAUCUGCUUCAGGUAACCAGCCCAAAAGUGUGGCGUAGCUUAGACUCUGCAGACCCCAGUGGCCAGCAGUGUGGGUCUACAUCACCAACUGCCACCACCACUUCUCCUGUUGCUGUCAUACCAACCCCACCAAUCCCUGUAGCAACAUUUAACAUGACAAGACAGCCUUGGUCAAAAACUCGAAGCAGUUCUAUGCCAACUCCUGGGACAAAAAAGAUGGACACAGGCAAACCAUCUUUGCCUCCCCCACGCAGUGGUCGAAGCUCAGUGUCCAAUGAAAACAAUGUUCUUCUUGACCCAGAGAUUCUGACUGACUAUCCAACUCAGGCUUUAGUUCUCACUGUCCUGGCAACACUCGUUCGCAAUACAACUGACGAGAAUGAAACAAGGAUCUUGUAUGAAUAUCUGGCGGAAGCAUCAGUGGUUUUCCCUAAAGUAUUUCCAGUUAUUCACAGCCUGUUGGAUGCCAAGAUCAACAAUGUGUUAUCCCUGUGCCAUGACCAGGCCAUUUUAAAUGCUGUCCAGUCCAUCAUACAAAACAUGAUUGCUUGUGAGGAUGCCACGCAGCAGCAGUUGUCAUACCUACAGAAGCUGCACUGAUCUGGCACCUCUAUGUCACAGUCUUCGUGUGCGGCAAGGAAAAAGUUAAAAGUAUAGGUUUUGGUGGACUGUGGAGGUUUGCAGGGACUUUUACCAAGUCAUUAGGGUCAAGUGACAUUGCGGAGCUCUUUGUUAACUGUUUGGAGAAAGCUAUGAUGGUAGAGUCGUGUCUGCCAGGUGAUGAUUUG